AUUGAACGCUGGCGGCAGGCCUAACACAUGCAAGUCGAGCGGUAGCACAGAGAGCUUGCUCUCGGGUGACGAGUGGCGGACGGGUGAGUAACGUCUGGGAAACUGCCCGAUGGAGGGGGAUAACUACUGGAAACGGUAGCUAAUACCGCAUAACGUCGCAAGACCAAAGUGGGGGACCUUCGGGCCUCACACCAUCGGAUGUGCCCAGAUGGGAUUAGCUAGUAGGGGGGGUAAUGGCUCACCUAGGCGACGAUCCCUAGCUGGUCUGAGAGGAUGACCAGCCACACUGGAACUGAGACACGGUCCAGACUCCUACGGGAGGCAGCAGUGGGGAAUAUUGCACAAUGGGCGCAAGCCUGAUGCAGCCAUGCCGCGUGUAUGAAGAAGGCCUUCGGGUUGUAAAGUACUUUCAGCGGGGAGGAAGGCGGUGAAGUUAAUAGCUUAACCGAUUGACGUUACCCGCAGAAGAAGCACCGGCUAACUCCGUGCCAGCCGCCGCAGUAA
rnacentral:rRNA from 1 species